rnacentral:lncRNA from 1 species
CUUCCCUCUCUCUCUCCUCUGCCUGCCUCUCUGCCUACUUGUGAUCUCUGUCUGUCAAAUAAAUCAAUAAAAUCUUUAAAAAAAAGAAAAAGAUGCUUUUCUUCCCCUUCUGCCAGCCCGCUCCCCCACAGCACCCGCAUCUCUGGGGUGCGGAGGCUCUUCCAGUUCACACGCAUCCCCCGUGAGCCCCAUGCGGGCCCCCUUUCUCCAGCAAAGUCCUCCCAAUCUCUAAUCACAUCUCGGGAACCGGCAUUUUCUUCCUGCCCUCUUUCCGCAGGGAAAGAUGCUUCUGCCACUCCCUGAGCUCACAGCCGGGAAAUCGACACAGAGGAUUCCUCUGACUGCAUCUCCUGGCCCAGCGACACCCCUCCCUGCAUUCUCAUCCGGCAGUGCCCAGCCCCUGGAUUUCCCGCGGGCGGGCAGUGUGUAUGGACCAGGAUCGUGGCUCCCCCCACCUCGCAGACUGGGAAGGGGAGCUGGCCCUUUCGGAGUGUUCUCCUCCUGUUAGUCCUGUCCAGGCACAGGCUGGAGGUAGAGCGUGGCACGGGGCGGGAAUCUAUUCAUGGUAGAGUUCAAACAGCCUUAGUCCAAAUAACAAGUCGGACUGUCAGCUCUUCCCGCCACCUUGUCCAGACCUCCAUCUUCCUGCCCUGGGCAGAGCCCCUCCCAGCCUGCUGCUUGAGCAGAUGCUCCGGGGCUGCUCCUCUUCACCUGCCUGGGCCAGAGCCCAUUAGCUGCUGGGAGCUGAGGCUCCCCUUGCUGAGAACAGGCUGGGCUCCGAGCUGCCAGCCAGCGCAUCAUCGAUCGAUCGUGGAUUGCGCAGGGAUGCUUUUGACCUUUCAAGACACCCAGCAAGCGAUGGUGAGAGGGGGCAGGAUGACCUUGUAAGUACUCACCUCCAAAGCGGCUGCAGCAGGAGACACACAGUCAUGGGGCAGUUCUGAAAAGAGCAGGAGCUGGGCGGUCAAGGCUCUCUGCUUUGGAGGUAAGCGUGCUCCUGCCCUGGGGCGGGGGGGGGCGGCUGUGAGCUGCUGGGACUGACCCCUCUGUCCAUUGUUCUCGGUGCUUCUUUGUUUGCGGUCAGGGCUUGGGCUCUGCCUUCUGAGAUACUCCUCCUGGUCAGGAAGAGCUGUGCCUGCAGAUGAGGAGCCCUUAUCCUGCUUUCUGCAGUAGAACCCCCCGUCCAACGACCCCCCCAGAAAAGAGUCUGCUUGGUUAGACAAAAGCCAUUCCUGCAAUUAAUUUGGAGAUGGUUCUCUCUUCACUUUGGGCACCAUGUUGGAGAGCUAUGGGGCUUCGAGCUUAUGAUUCUUGGAUCUGGGGAGGGCUACUGGGCACCACCUCGUACCUUUCUGAGGUUUUUUUUUUUUUUUAAAGAUUUUAUUUAUUUAUUUGACAGACAGAGAUCACAAGUAGGCAGAGGGGCAGGCAGAGAGAGAGAGAGGGGAAGCAGCCUCUGUGCUGAGCAGAGAGCCCAAUGGGGGGCUCGAUCCCAGGACCCUGAGAUUAUGACCUGAGCCGAAGGCCGAGGCC